GUGGAGUAACAAUGGAGUUUCUGCCUCCUAACUUUGUAGUACAAACUGGUGAAUCAUCACAGAUCUUUCAGUGUUACCUUUAGGGAAACAAGGAACUACCUUCAAAAAUCUCCUGUUAUAGCUCAAUAAAGACAAGUUGCAGACUGCAGGAUCAAUGCCUUGCUAUAAAGAAAACUAAGAGGGAUGAAAAAUUGGAGAGCAAGAUGGGUGAAAGCAAAAAUGAGAUUGUCAGAGAAUUGGGUUGAAACUGCCUUCAAUCUUGCCUGAAAGAAGAACCUCUGAAGCACCCUGCUGCACCCUGCUGCAGAAACCUGAAGAAAAGGAUGAAAAUUGUGUAUUAGAACAAUUAUGCCUCAGGGUGAAUGUAUUUGCUACAUCUGAGGACUAAGGACCACCAAAUCAGUGUUUUGGAUGUGGCAAGUGGUAACAGGAACUGGAUGUGAAAUCAUGUCAUUUGCUGGUUGUACACCUGAGGCUGCCAUCUGACUUUCCAGACACUGCUUUGAGAAGGAACUUUUGGAGAUGUCUAAUCUGGCACUUGACUCAAAGCAGCUUCAACCCUGAUUCCACUCUGGAGUUGAAUACCAGCCUCUCUAGAUAACCCAAUGGCUUUCUACCUAAUCAGCCGCCAGACUGCAUAGGAAAACUGUGUCCCAAGUGCAAGACGCUGCGUUUUCCUUUAUUGAGCUUCAUGAGGUUUUUCCAGCUUGCCAAGCUCCCUUUGAGUGGCAGCUUUACCCUGCAGCUUUUCAGUCUUUCUCCUGAUUUAAAUAAUUCCAUCUUUCACCUUUCAUUUAACGUCUUCAUAGAAUAUUUUAUGAGAAAGGUAUCGUAAGAAACAUUCAGGAAAUAGGGAAAAUGGAAGAUAUGAAACUUCCAAGGUGACUGCACUUCGGUAAUUGUACUUCACAGUCAAAAUUGAAAUGAAAACAGUUUUUUGUACAUCUUUUGUGGUCACAGAUUGUGCUAAAAAUGAAUAUAUAGUGUCUGAACUUAUGGUUCUUAGGCAAAAACUCCAUUCAAAUAUCACUGCGGAAUAGUCAAUGUUAAAAUGUGCUAGUGAGGUAGAAGGAAUGAGGAACAAGGAUCUAGAAUGGAAACCUGGGGAAAAACAUCAUAGCUGAGUCACUCAGUAACUGUGCAUUUAUUAGCUUUUUAGAUAUUUAUUCUCCUAGGGGAUUAUUAAUAUUUAUCACAUUGUGUGUCCAUAUCAGACCCUAAUAAGAAGAACUUUUAUGUAAUAGAAAAUAUUUUAAGAUGAAGCUAAUUUUUUCUUUAGAUACCGGAGUUUAAGAGUGCCUGAAUUGCAGUAACUGCAAGAGAGAUGAUUUUCAGUGGAAGAUGUGAAUUUAAGGAGAUGUGAAUUUAACCUCAGCUAAAUAAGAACUGGACAUCUACUCUUACCGGAUCUUCUAGGCCCUCCAAUCAAUGCACAGAUUCUCAUCUAUAUCAAACUCUAAUGCUAUUCCAAGGUGUUGAGAACUCCGGUGGACUACAGAAAACACUGGCAUGCCAUGCAGCCAUUGGGCAGUGGGUUUGGAAUGCAUCUACACAAAAGUAAUCUCCUGACCCAUUUCUACCCAAGAAUAAGUUUGUUCAGUUGUGGAGCAGCCUCAGAGGUUGAGAAGGACCUUCCUUUGGACAAAACAAAACUGGAAGAUGCACACUCCAAGAGGUUGCCUGCUGCACUUCAACCAUCAAAAGAUGCUCAGUGCCCAGGAGUCUGCCCAAGGCAAGUCUACCUGUUCCUGUUGACUCUGGGGCUACUUACUGUGCAAGGUUUGUGGAGACCAGAGAAAAGGGCACACCUGUAUUUGACAUUGCAGUCAUGUGGAGUGGUUCCCAUUGCAUUGCUAUCCCCUCCAUGCUCUGGUAGGCAUGGUUGAGAUAAGGUUACUACUUGCUGCCUCCCACCUGAAAGAAGACCCUGACUGCUUCCACUGCUCUUUCUCAAAUGCGGUUUUGUGCUGAUAUGGAGUAGAGCCAGCUGGUCAUGCAAUUGGCUGUUUUUUCACCUGGAAGGUGUUUCUCUUCUGGAUGAGAAUAAUGUAUUUUGCAUGGUCCCUUCUCUUCAGUCUGUCCUGUGUUGCUUUAUUUACUCCUGGUGUGCACUGGAAUGGAACAGGCAGAAGUAUAUGAUCAACUGGUCUCAGACUGGCAAUUCCACGUGUUAUAAUUUGGCCAGGUCAAGGGAAGAUCAAACCCAUUAUUUAAACCAUCUUUAGUGGUUUUAAGCCUAACUCUACAACCUUUUUGUUCUGAAAGGGACUAGGUAUGUUCAUAUUGUCAGAUACAGCAAAAAAGCAGAUUGAGAUUGUUUCCUUGCCUUUUCCAACAAUUGUGAUCCUUGGGAUGAGAAUCCAUGUCAGUGUGACUGCAAGUGUAACUGCUAAGUAACUGCUGUGCUUGUUCAUUAGAUAUGGACACAGCACAACUGAGUUUAUAUUCAGGAGCUUGAUUUCAGUGCUGCAGACAUGGCCCUUACUGUGCUGGGUCAUGCUAUUCAGAGACUGUUUGCUGCAGAAGUGAACUUUGACCAAUGUACUUGUCUGUCUUUGGAGAGAGGCUUGGACUAAGCUGUACAGGAAGUGUCAUUUUGUUGGGUUUAAAAAAUUGUGUUGACUUGGAACGUUUUCUCAUGAUGUAAAGGUACAUUUGUAUUAGCAAAGACAUCUUCAUGGAGAUAAGGAUUUUCAAGUGUAGUUUAUAUUACUAGCAAUGCUUAUCAAAAUACAUAAUUUUAGGAGUUUAAAAACUAAUAAAUUAUUUAUCUCAGUUUUUCCAUAAUUUACAUUCAGGCCUGAAUGUUGUCAAGGCAUGUUUUUGAAAACUUGAUUUCAAGUUAAAAAAUUGCUAUAAUUUGCUAACUAAAUAAACACACAAUUUUUUCUGAAAUGCAA